GAGGAAAGUCUGGGCUUACUAGCAAAAUGCGUUGCAGGAUAAGCUCCUGUACAAGUAAUUGUGAGGACAGUGCCACAGAAAAAAAUACCGCUAUUUUUUAGUAAGGGUGCAAUGGUGUGUGUGAGUUACUAUUAGAUUUUCAUUAAAAUCGCUCUAAUUUGCGUAUAUAAAAGUAUACAACAAGGUUAAUAAUAUUUGAAUUAUUGCAUGAAAGCAUCAAUGUAUAGUCUUUUUAUCUAAAUAUCUGAUAAUUGUAUUUCAAUUAAAAUAUAUUAAUGUUUGCUUUAAAAACCUAAAUUGUUAUCAAUAUUGAAAAGUUCUUUGGUAUAUAGUUUGAUCUUUAAUGGACAAGUAUGGCUAUUAGAAAAUUGAUUUUUGUAUUGUUUAUUAUCUAUUUAUCCAUAUUUUUGAGCAUUACGUAUAUAAACAUGCAUUUAAUGUUCUUAGAACAGCCCACGCUGAGUCGAUUUAGAGCAUACCAGAAACAUUGAAAAAUGUUGGCUAGGUAAACCCCGACGGUAAGCAAAUUCACUAGUUGAUUUUAUUUGUUUAAAAUAGUGAUAAUUAAAUGCAUAAAGUUAUGAGUAAUCCUAACUUCAGAUAAAUAACCAUCCUUUUGUCUACAGGUAUUUUACCUUUAGUUUAAAAGAACAAAACCCGGCUUAC
rnacentral:RNase_P_RNA from 1 species